rnacentral:lncRNA from 1 species
CUUGUCUGCAGCAGCAUUCUUUCAAAGGGAAGAUUCCCUGGUGAAUUCAUUAUUACACAGAAGUCCCACCCCCAUGAAACUGCUGUAGACACAUAACAGGAUUACUGUUCAAGAGUUUACUAGGAUGCAAGUAAAAUUGUUCCAGUCAGUCAGCAGCGAGCAUCUUUGAGUAAGCUCCACGAGACUCAUACAGCAGAUGCUUCUGUCUCUGUUCAUAACUGGCAGCCUUGUGACCCUGAAAUUCUAAGCUUGUUUUCAUGGGACAUCUAGAUCACCCUGCAGUCCCAGUGAUGAGGAUGUCUUAUCUGGUUCAGCAAUGAAGAGAAUCCUUGCUUCUCAAAGGAUUACAUUUUCUUGUGCAAUGCUCUGGAUCCAGAGGGGUUAAGCAGCAUAGGCAGAUGGAAAUUCAUCAAUCAAUAAACUCAAAUUCAGGAGGCAGAGAUAGGGUAAUGUAUUCCAUACAUUAUGCUUAUUUGCUAUAUACAUAUUGGUUUUGUGUAAUAAAAAACCUAGGCCAUGAAGGUAAGUUUCUAUUUACCUGG